ensembl:lncRNA
CAGAUCGUUGCUCAGCACACUGUUAAAAAGCCACGCCUCCGUGCCUCUACGCCGAGGUUUAAGCUGGCGAGGCGCCGUGGGUAGGUCUACCGCGGCGAGGACGCCCAACCUUCGGAAUAUAAUAUAGAGCAUUCUUCACCGAGGGAGGUUUACCGGAGGCUGAACACUGAGCGAGGAUCUUGGUGUUCUCGGCUCAGGUGUGGACCGAGGGAAGUUUUGCUUCAGCUUGUGGCGAAACGGAUCAGAAGUUUCUGGCACCACAUCGUAGAUCCUUCCACGGAGACGAGCAUUAGAUCUAACAAUGGUGAUGAUGAUCCUGAUGAAGGCCACAAGCCAAAAUGUGUCAGUGGAGCAGUGAAGUUUUCUGAAUCAUUCAAAUGUUCUUCGAGAUCCAACUUUCUAUUUCCUUAUUGCUUCAGGACUCUGUGUGGUGAUUUCACUGACAGCUUAUUUAUUAAUAAGUAAUUAUUUAUAUUAUUGUUGAAAACAACUCCAAGAGGUAAUUUAGUUUUAUAGAAGAGAGCAGUCUCUCUGUCAGGUGAACAUCUACAAGUAUACUAACAAAUUAAAUCUGAAGAUGACAGUCAGUAAUGCAGCCUGAUUUAAAACAUUAAUAUGGAAAUAAAAGAUUGAAUGAGUGACUGCUGCUGUCUGAACUUGUAAUGUGACUCUUUCCUUACUUGUUUAAAAUGUCUGAAUGAUUAGUCAUUACUGCUUUUCUUGAAAUCUCAACACAGAAGAAGAAGAAUAAAAAUAAAAUGAUGUGAAAUUAG